UGCCUACGGGGCGCAGCAGUGGGGAAUAUUGGGCAAUGGGCGCAAGCCUGACCCAGCAACGCCGCGUGAAGGAAGAAGGCUUUCGGGUUGUAAACUUCUUUUAUCAGGGACGAAGCAAGUGACGGUACCUGAUGAAUAAGCCACGGCUAACUACGUGCCAGCAGCCGCGGUAAUACGUAGGUGGCAAGCGUUAUCCGGAUUUACUGGGUGUAAAGGGCGUGUGGCCGGGCCGGCAAGUCAGAUGUGAAAUCCCAAGGCUCAACCUUGGAACUGCAUUUGAAACUGUUGGUCUUG
rnacentral:rRNA from 1 species